UACGUAGGUGGCGAGCGUUGUCCGGAUUUACUGGGCGUAAAGGGAGCGUAGGCGGACUUUUAAGUGAGAUGUGAAAUACUCGGGCUCAACUUGAGUGCUGCAUUUCAAACUGGAAGUCUAGAGUGCAGGAGAGGAGAAUGGAAUUCCUAGUGUAGCGGUGAAAUGCGUAGAGAUUAGGAAGAACACCAGUGGCGAAGGCGAUUCUCUGGACUGUAACUGACGCUGAGGCUCGAAAGCGAGGGGAGCAAACAGG
rnacentral:rRNA from 1 species